rnacentral:tRNA from 1 species
GCCCCCAUAGCUUAAUUGGUAAAGCAGUGGACUCUUAAUCCAUUGACUCCAGGUCCGAGUCCUGGUGGGGGCA